UUUCACUCGAAAACUCUAUUUCAUUUCCUUCUCCUCUUAUGUGUCGUUUUCUCCUCUUUCUCUCUCCUCAAAGCUUCGAGUCUCAAUUGUUGAAAUUCUAAAGCUUCAAAUUUCGCCUGAAACUCGAACAUUCUUCCAUAUAUGGGCUAGAGGAGUGAUUAUUUUCCCUUGGUGCAUGUUUUGGUGCGGUUUUGAAGGUGUUUAUUUAAGUUCACAAUUUCGAACCUCUUCACACAUUUUGCCAAUGUUCUUCACCUACUUUCGGUGAGCUACUAAUUUCGGCCAGUUCAUAUAAGUUUUCAUCUAAUUUUUUUGUUUUUGUAUUUCGUUUUCUUUUGCGUUAUUGAGAGGCACUUUUUUAGUGCGAAUUUUGCGUGAAUGGUGACCGGAUUUUUUUUCUUCUUUCAAGUUCCGGGUUAACAGUUUUCCAGUGGGCUCCAAGCAGUUUUCAAGUGAGACCUUUGGCGAAUUCCGACUCUCUUUUUUGUGUUCUUCACGAGUCUAAACUCGUUCCAUGUGACAUGGACAUGAAUCCACACGUUCUUAAAGUUUUCAAAAACCCAAGAAUCUUGAAAGAAAGAUGAGUUCAGUUUCUUGGUUGAAUUCUUUAUGAACACUCGAACAAUCGAAGGAUAAAACUAUUUGAUUGUUUCCUGAACUCUCAAUUAAUAGGAUCUUGAUUCAAGUAAGUCACUCCUAACUUAACUAAUCAAUCAUUAAACUCAAUUCACUCCUGAAUUAAAUUCAAUGGUUUUGUAAGCAAUAACUCACAUGUAAGUAUAAACUCACAAAAACUAUAAAUUAAACUAUUCUAUUUUAUUAAUCACCAAAAUAGAACCUUAGGCAGGCAUUACAAAUACCUAAUUAUACUUGGACUAGAAAACAUAAAAGAGAAUUCAAAACAAAUCCUACUAUGCUUAGGACAAGUCCUUAAAUCAUACUUCAAAUAAAACUCUUAACAAUACAUAAAUCAAAGCUUAAACCAACUAGAAUAUGAAGAGUCCUCAUGGAAGUCAACUAAGCAUGUUAUCACAUGCCAACUAUCAUUCCUAACAGAACUAGGAAUGUUUCAUGCCAACCUUCAUUCCUAACAGACUAGGAAUGUCUUCCAAACCAUCAUUUCUCCACUUCCCAUGCAUUAUCGACACUACUCCAAGUAAUACAAGCGAGAAACUCUUGUUUACAAGAAAACAAGUUGAACCCCAUAGUAUCCAACACCAAGGUAAUUGGUUCUUCUUGCACAAAUGCCGUUGAAUCCACAUAACCAUGUGAGUUUGUUUCAGUUUUUUAGUUUAAUAAUUGUUUAGAUCAUGAAUCUAGAAUUAUAUUACAAUUAGUAUAGUUUCUAAGUCUGUAACCUAAAAACAUGUUUAGGGAACUUUGAAUGUGCGGAUUUCCUGCUGGUAGAAAUCCUGUUUAGGCAACUAUGUGUAGCUUUCCUAUUAUCGCUUGAAUAUUUUUUGGUUUUUUUUCAAUGGAUUCCUGAAAUCUCAUAAGAUGUGAUGGUUAGGCUUUUUAGAAAGCGACUUUGUGAUUUAAGAUUACCGAUUCAUGAAAUCUAGUAAACUUCCAUGUUAUGUUCUAUUAGAGUCUGGAGCUCUUUUAUGGAAAUCUUUAGUCAUAUUUGUUGGUUUAAAUCCGAUUAGCAUGUCGCCGGAAUUCUCUGACAAAGAGGAGGUGCAAAUUACCGCAACGUAUCACAGGUGGGUUCGGCGAACCCCAAGGUGGACUUCGAAUCAACUACACUGCUGUCUGGAGAACCACAUUUCCCAUCGAGCACUUACAGGUCACGUGAGAAUUUGCAAUGCGAUUCUUCAUUUUCUUCUAGUGCCGAGGUCCGGUCACUAAUUGGUCCCAUCACUGAUACGAUUCCCCCAUCGCUGACAUAUACCUCCCGCAAAGGGGCGUCCAGAGAGCUCAAUAUGGAGGGGACUAUAGAGGAGUAGAAGGUUCAUAUUCUACUAUGGCUAGUUGUAUGCGGAAUGCUGCAGAUUGACAAGGGAUCACGGGUUUCGACGUGAUACCUGAGAGCUUUAACCAAUUUGUCCAGCAGGGUGCAUACUUACGACUAGGUCGAGUUUGGCUAUUGCAGUCUCUUUUCCUGCCUGAGUACAGCUUGCACGCAGAUGUAUGAUGAUUCACAAAUCUUCAUUUUUUGUCCCUGGAGACUUCUUGAGAAAGGGUUUUGGAUCUCUCCUUCCCCACUGCAGCGUGUUGGGCGCAACACAGGAGUAGUGGAUAUGCCUUAGUUAACGCCGCUUGGAAGGCCAUCAAGCGCGCCAAGCCAUAUCAGGUAAUUAAGGUGAGCCGACCUUUUGUUAUUUCUUUCAAGAUGUGACGAGGUGUUAACUCACUAGUUGUUCUGCAUAUCUCUUUUCGCCCUUGGGCUUUUUACCUGAAGUUACCGAGAUUGGCUGACUAGGCUCGAGUUCGACUCCUCAUGGAAUCAUCUUCUAUGGAGAGGCCUUCCCCAUGUGGUAUCUUGGCAAGCAUGUCAUGCGCUAAUUUACCACUUCUCCCCUGUUGAUAUCUCAUGACCCGCCUUCCACUAUGAUGGAUGCGGAUGCUCUCAAGCGAGCGAUUGAGGAUGGGCAACGCUUCAUGCGGAUAACCAAGCCUUUGUUCAUCAUGGGCGGGACUACACUGUAGAGCUUUUGCCUCGGUUGUCCCCUGCUGUACGUUUUGAAAAGAGGUGUUUCAGGCCCAUGUUUCAUUUGUUCUGUAACUGUGAAUCCGGUACGCGGGCGAAACUGGGCCUGUUAAGGAGAUUGUUCAUGUUUCCUUGGAGUCGGAGCAACAUGAUGUUCCUCGAGUGACUGUUGUUCCCAUUCUCCGAGUAGUUGAUUCCCUGAAGCAUGGGAUGGCGAAGAUAAAGAGGAGCAUCUCUUGUCAGCAGUCUAACGCACACACCAAGCCUCGUCCCCAAGAGAGUGGACCUCAUCUCGAGGCCAGAGUCUCGACGCAAUCUAGGAUUUCGACCUAGACUCCUCGAGAUUCGACUUCUAAGAGGCCUCGAAUGGAUCCUUUUGCUAGCUAGUACUAUAUAGGGAACAUGGGGUACAUGGGGGAACCCAUGUUCAAUUUUAUUCUUGGUCUAGUCCGAUGGAUGCAGCACAUGCGGAUGCAGCAAAUGUGGCAGAUGACUUCGAUGCCGCUGAUGUAUCUCAUGUAGUAGUCGAGGAUAGGAUAUGACUGGAAAGGCUCCUAUAGAGGCGAGUUGGGGGGGUAUUUGGAUUAAGGAGCUGGAGGAUGAUCCUUCCUCCUCAAGGGAUCAGGACCCUCCUGCUUCUUAGAUUUCUGCUCUGCUUUUAUGUACAUGUGACCUGCAAUCUUGUUCUGACAUUUAUAUAUCUUGCAUACUAAUAUGUAUUGCACCUUUGUUUUGAUUGUUGCUUUUAUUAUUAUUAUCAUCAUCAUUAUUAUUAUUACUA